rnacentral:rRNA from 1 species
AACGAACGCUGGCGGCAGGCCUAACACAUGCAAGUCGAACGGGAUCUUCGGAUCUAGUGGCGGACGGGUGAGUAACGCGUGGGAACGUGCCCUUUGGUUCGGAAUAGCCCUGGGAAACUGGGAGUAAUACCGGAUACGGUCGAGAGACGAAAGAUUUAUCGCCGAAGGAUCGGCCCGCGUUGGAUUAGGUAAUUGGUGGGGUAAUGGCCUACCAAGCCGACGAUCCAUAGCUGGUUUGAGAGGAUGAUCAGCCACACUGGGACUGAGACACGGCCCAGACUCCUGCGGGAGGCAGCAGUGGGGAAUCUUAGACAAUGGGGGAAACCCUGAUCUAGCCAUGCCGCGUGAGCGAUGAAGGCCUUAGGGUUGUAAAGCUCUUUCGUGGGGGAAGAUAAUGACUGUACCCCAAGAAGAAGCCCCGGCUAACUCCGUGCCAGCAGCCGCCGUAACAC